UGCAGAGAUACUGUUCGUCAACGGAGGAAGUGGAAACUUUAUAUAACAAAAGUACAUCUAUCAAUGAAUAGGAGAAAAAAACUUUCUUACGUUCUUCUCAUAAUAUUUAACCAAUUACAAAGCCAAACCAGUAUCAAUUACUUCGACGAUUUUCCUCGCUAUUCAAGAUGUACGUAAACAUUGUACAGAAGCAAAAAUUUGAACUCGCAUUUUUCGUUUGAAAUGAGUCGUCUGAGAAGGUUUAGACGGACGUCGCCUCAUUUCAGGUUCUACUGUACAUUUUGGGACAUCCUGUAUUUAUACAACUAUGUUCGUUUUAUAUUUAUAUGUUGCGCAAUCGACGCACAAAGUACGCGAUUUCCAUAUUUGCUAUUCGAAAGUGUCUUCCAUCUACGGGCAAUUUCCAAGAACUACGUAAUAAUUACGAGCCUGAGCAUCACCGUGGACGAAAGAUCGUCGAACGAAAAAACGCGAUAACUAUUUACGUUUCCAUACGUUCAUUUGUCUGCUAAUUUUCUCGGACGUUAACGACGCGCGCAUUCUUAGGCAUUGCCGGCGUAUUCCGAUACGAGAGAGUACGUUCAAUCAAAUUUACAAGCUACCCGUAUGAAUCAGAUUUUAAUUGCAUCCGCAUAUAUGUAUUAGGUAGAACGUGUCGCGUCGAUACGAAAUUUAUGAAUCAUGCUUGGCAAGGUUUCUGCUUCAUUAUCGCCUCUGCAAAUGACUAUUCUCAACGGCGUGUCGAGAUACAAUCUGGAGGCAACAAUCGUCGCCGUUAAAAUUGUCAAGUUGAAUGAAACGACUGGACAUAUUUCUCGAAACUUGGGAACCGCUUGGGGACCUUUGUUCAUUUCUCCACUUCUCACUACGACGCAACGCGAUGGAUGCGCCGAAUGAUAAAACGUAUCAACUCGAGGAUAUACCAGUGCUCAAAGGUCGAACUAUCCACGAAACGGGCAAUCGGCCUGGCUGUUCGUCUAAGGCUUAGGAUUGGUCAAAGCGGUAGCAGUUUUGCUCUCGAGUCGGCGCGAAGGGAAGCGUAACGUCAUAAGUGAUAUACAAUGAUGUAGUACACCUGUAUCGGAUCAUAAAUUCCAGACCCUUUAACGAGUCGCUGGCAGAAAACAAGGCAGAAGAGAGGAGCGCAUUACGCGUCGAGGCUGGUAAAUCGGUGGAUAACGCCUCGGUAAUAAUAUCGGCGAGCCAAUCAAACGGGCAACUAACCAAUCAAUCAACGGGAGUCUAGCAACCAACUAACCCAAGCAACGAAACAACCAACGAACCAACUUGCCUACCUAAGCUACCUAGGAGGGAGAGAUGCGCGAGCUUGUUCGCGCACCAUAUAUGGCCAUCAGCGCGCGGCCUGAACUCGUGCUGCGCUUCCACCGGAGAUUCUCACAAAUUUACGCAGGGCUAUGUGUUUCCCCGGGUGACUUUCUCUCCCCCAGGUCUGGCAGCCACCACCGGAUACUUUUUUCCCUGGGCGAACCGUCGCGUCGCGGAAACCUAUGCGUUAUACAUGCAUUUCGACUCCCUCGUUAGGACGCGUACACAUGUCGCGAGGGGACCGAGGAUCGCGUAUGCAUCGAGAGAAAGCAAAUCGCGUCCCGCUCAGACCGCUACCAGAGAUUAGGAAGGCAGCUCGUCUUUCGAUGGAUCACGCGGCUACUCCGGUGGCGAGCGAUCCUCUCGUUACCAAACCAUCGAUUUCAUGCGAGAGGCGUACCAUCCACGGGGACCGCGAAGGACCCUCUUCUUAUGGAAAAGCGAUCCUGGUCGAUUUGUUUCCUGGCUUUCGAGACGCUGUCCACGCAUCCAAAACCGAUGCUCCCGUGCACGUCCAUCACAGGAGGAAGAAAAGCAAAACGAAGCGUUCUUCGACCUGGAGGGGCAGAGAGAGCAAGAAAGAGGAGCUUCCGCGAAGCUCGAAUCGUUUCCACGUCGCAAGCUUGGCUCUGGCCGAGAUGGGCAAAAUUGUAUUCCAAUAAAAACCCCGUAUAGUGAUUUAUUAGCGACGUUUAUUCGAUUGAACAGUUAUACAGAUCAGUUUUUACCCGUUCAACGCGCGGUGCUGCGGUUGGACUGGUACCGUGUACCGCCUAAAAAUCGUACGGGGUCUUCGGCGUACCUGCAAGACUUCGUAAAGAACUUCUGGGCAAUAUUGUAUUUAUGCGAUCCGUCGGCAUCGGUAUUAUAAUACGAGUUUUAUCGUCGAUCCAUAUGGUUAUCUCGUCGGUAUUUAUUUACCAUAAUGGAACGAAUCAAAAUGAAAUCAAAAUGGAAUCAAAACGAAACGUAAAAGACUCUUUCUUUUAGAAUGUACAGAUCGAUAUCUCGGGAAAUUCCAUUUAUAACGUUUAAUUUUUCUUUCAGAAGAAGAAGAAACAAGGGCUACCGUGAUCUUUACUGUAAUUACUCGUUAAUGUCAACGAUCCAACAAGUCCCGGGUGCCAUGAACGUCGACGUAGUUGAAGCGCGCGUGUUCGUAAAGGAUUUCCGAAAGCACGGAGGGCUGCGAAAGCGGCCCUUGUCCUGCAGAGGCAGGCGUUGUCGACAAUCACUUCCGAGUCGCAUUUGUACCCCCCAUUACCACGGGUGUGUAUAGAAGGCGCGACAAAAACCGGCAUUCCUGAUUCUUAAGUUGGACUCUAUAUAAGUAUCUGCCAUCGCGAACAUUGCCUGUAUAUGGCGACAACCAGGCUUUGACAAAGGUGACCGUAUAUGGUAUUCUGCUUCCACCUUCCAUACCUUCUCUCUCUCUAGCUCUCUCCCCGCCAUCUUUCUCUUUCCCUUCCCUUACAGCCCUCCUCUCCCACCUGUCUUCUUUGCCAUUCUCUCUAUCGCCCUGGCAGACUUCUUGCUACCGUUGUCCUCGUCGCUUCCUCGUGUCCGAUCCAUCGGGGUGCCUCCUCGACGAAAUGCAUCAUAAUCGUUAAGUCGUUAGAUCGUAAAUCAUGGCUUGGAACCCCCGUCGCAAUCGAUAUCUCCCCCCCUCGUCCCUAAGAACCCACCAAAUCGCGACAGAGAAAAAGGGAGGUUCAAACAGUAUCACGGAUCCUACAGGGGGCGUUGUUGUUUUCUCGGUACGAUCUUGUUCGGUGAACAGGGAGCAACCUCGCUUUUCUUCGAUUUUUUUCCCCUGCUUUUAAUUGCGAUUUAGGUAGCGUUGUAACCUUAUGUUUUAGGGGAUGCCAAGGAUGAAGUUCUUGCGGACUUUAACCGAGAGACGGUUCGGUAAAGAAGAUCGCGGAUCAAGUGGCGUGCCCUUGUUUGGCCAAUGAGAGCAAUUCUGGUCGAACGAAAUUGAAUUUCAUCGUUUCGAUUGUCUUCGAGAAUCAAAUUACGUGUGCACAGGAUGCGAGAAACUUUAAUAUACGCGAACUUCGAAAUAUAAUUUUAUUCGAUCGGAAACAAUAGCUCUCGUUGAUCGAAAUAAGAAACGCUUCCUUCGAAUUUAUGUAUACCGAAGGCAAGCAAGAACUAGAGCUAACUUGCGUGAGAAACGAAAUGAUUCUCGACUAGAAUUUCUAAAUACACGCGAAUCGCGGAUAGAAACUGUGUACUGUGCGCUAAUCGAGAAAUCAGACCUACCUUGCGAAUCACGCUGAAAAGAUGAAUGGCAAAGUGGAUUGGCUGUUGGAUCGGUGUCUUAUUUUCAAGCGAUUCAUUGUUUACAAUAGCAAGUCGCAGCGUUAACGGGAUUAUUAUUUAAUCUUGCAACUCGACGCAUAUCGGAAGGUUCUAGUUCUUACAAUAUUAUCGUUUCCAUAUAAAUUACUUAGCGUACCAGGGAAUGCGAUCGUUGCACCAUCAAGAAAAUUGUAUUUGCCGUUUCGUUGAUCGUUCUCCAACGUCAAUUACAAAAAUGUAGAAUUCUGGGUCGAGCUCUUUCGCUUUUUCGAAGCGAUAGAAUUUCUUUGAAUAAAGAAAAAAAAAACGGCAGCUUCGACGGGUCAUUGAUCUUGCUCGUUUCGGUUUCGACGUUAACUAUACAUACAACGAAACAGUUCUCCAACUGCGUGAAAUAACAAGUUUCUCUUUCGGUUGGUUUUAACCCUUUGCGCUUGAUUUAAACAUCAAGUUCUGUAUUUCUGUAAAAUUGAAUUUAUCCUCCGAUUUCACUGUACAGAUCCAUUUUCACAUAGUUCCAAAGCUUUCGAAACAACAAGAACUUCGUAAAAACUUUCUGUCACGAUUAUCGAACUAAUUAAAACUCAAUAUAAACAAAGACUGUUGCCUCCCAGUAGCGAUCAAGAGACGCCUCUCGACCGCAAAGGGUUAAUUUUCGAUUGGACGAAUCGCGAGAGAAGCGUGUUCCCGCACAGACGACAAGUAAAAGCUUCGAUACGAUCUCGGCGAUAGCUGCUAUAUCGGAACGAAAUCCGACGUCGUUAGAGGAUAAAUUCCUUAAAAUUCCACGGUUUUUUUGUUUGUCGUUGUUCAACAACGCGCUAACUACGCGAACCAGUAAACGGUUAAUUCCUUCGUCGAAGGAGCACGGUUUCAUUAUUCUCCUCGACGCAACUAAUUUAAACGUUUCACGCGAAACUGUUACCCAAUCGAAUUCCUUCCUUUUCGUUUGUGUAUCUCUGACGCGUCGCGGGACAGGGGUGGCGAAUCUUUUCGUACGAGAAUUAACGAAACGUUAAUAAGAAAACGAACGCGUCCCGUGGAAAUUAAUGAAAAAUAUCGAGUAUCAAAGUUGUUAUGUUUGUUACAGGUUCGUCAGCCCUGUCCCAAACACGUUCGUCGUAGCUACGAUUGCAUGCCGAGAAGACCAAAAAAGAUGAAUAAUGAAAGAAAAAUCGGAACGGUAUCUUCACUACACAACAGGUGGGUGUUCUCUACCUACCUGUUCGUGAACAACUGGCACCUCGUACCAACAGUGUUGGAGCGUUCGGUAAUAUUCGGCUAAGUGUGUACGAGAUGACAAAAGUACAGUCGUGUUUGGGACCGUAUCAUUAAUGAACGAUAAUAUAUAUACGUACGUGUAAUAUAAAUAUUAUCACAGUAUUUUACAGUACACUAUUUACACAUGUGAUACAUACUAAGGCACGCCAGCCGUACAUUCGUGAUUACCGUUUAGGAUUAUAAUAUCGUUAAUUAAUAUGUAUAUAUAUAUAUUUAUAUACACACACAUAUAUAUAUAUAUAAAUAUUAUUUGUACUUUGUGCGUCGAUGGGAGAAACAAAAUUACAUUUUCGUUGCAUAUUUCCAUUCGGGUUCGAUCCUCCCUUACUUUUACGCCUGAUCGAUACUUUCUCUCUCUUCGCUUCCACGUGUAACGUGUCUAUCUAUUUAUUCUAUCUAUCUACCUGUUUCUUUUUUUGUCAAUAUUAAGCGAUACAAACAAAAAUCAACAACACACAACACAUUUAUAACAUACACACACACACACACACACACACUUAAAGCAUGCAUAAUGUGAUGAUCUAGGGAGACGGAAGUCGGUUUUCUCUACUUGAGGAUUAUUUCAGUUGGAUAACGAGGACAGGGACCGUGGAGAAGGAGGAAGAGGGGAAAGUCGUGGGAAUUAAAUUAAAUUAGAAAAAAAAAAAAAAAUGGUAUCUUUAAAUACUAACUACUUAAUCUACGAAUAGAGAAAAUAAAAACAAACAAAUACUACACAUGCCACUUUCAGUACAAACACAAUACGGAACAAUGUACGAUGCACAACAAUAUAUAGUUAUAUGUAUGUAUAUAAAUAUAUAUAUGUUUCAAUGCGCAACAAUGCCAAGCGUGCACCGCCGGAUCUACUGGCUCGGACUCGCACCCACGUACUACGAUUUCUCGUUUCUUCGUCGGCUUUUUUUGCCACAGGGAAAGGCGGAACGCCUCGACCUGAACGACAUGAGUAUUAAAAAGGAUGCCUCGAGUAAGGAUCACUCGCAGGGAGGGAAAAUGGGAAACGGAUGCUUCGAUUUUUCCUUCGUUCCUGCCUUCGAAUCCUACGGACGAGGUACGAUCGUUACGAUUAAAUACAAUUGGGCCUGGAAUCGGGACGAACCAAAUCGCCGACGCGUUCGCUAAAUAAACUCGUUCCGAACGCGAGGCUUUACGGAAAAUAAAAUCUGUAUCGAGUUCGCUACGUGCUUGUAUACGCACCGUCCAAAAUAUUUAGAGGAUCGGUUACGUAAAAGUAGAGAAUGUGAAAAAGUAUUCGACGUUUUCGGAUCUGGUAUUUAGACCCGAGUAUCGCGAACCGAUACGUGUUUUCUGAAUAAUUUUAGAAUCGUCUAUCUACUUUAGCGAACCAUCGACUUUAGAGUAUUUCGUUUUUGUUGGACAUUUUUUUUUUCAUCCAGUUAAGAAUUUUGCCCAUCGUUUCGGUUUCCAUCUAUCUCGAACAGUGCCUGGACGAAUUAAUAGUCUUGUACUAACAAACCUAUGAGUCACUGUAUGUUACAGUAUAUUCGGUGUAGCAACGUUUUUAGCGAACGCCUAACUUCUAUAUAUCACGUCGGAGCCUUCGAAGCAUUCGUCGGUCGUCCAACUAUUUUAAGCUGAUCUGCCGAAUUCAACGCGUAAGUGGAAUCAGUCUACUUGAUAUCGUUAAUAUAAUCAACGUUUUGACUAAAACAGCGGCCCACGGAGAUUUGGUUCGACCCAGUUCCUCUUAAGUAUCGUUGCUCGGCGUCGAUCGAUCAACUUACAACGUAUAUACAGGUCUUUAAAUAAAUAAGAAAGAUUCCAUCGCCGUAAGGGUAUUAUAAAUACGAUUCGAGUAAACAAGAAAAACCGGGACACGUGUACGAAUAUAAAAUACACGGCUCCACCAGUAAUUCAUCACAUGAGUCACUACCCUAAGUUACGAUUUAGAACUGCCCCCCCUCCCCCCUCCCCCAACACCUCUGUGCGCGUUUAACGAACAGAGUUUCUCGCACGCAUCUUCCAAAGAGUUAUCCAAAAAGAACCCGAGGAUUUCAUUUUUUAACAACAACUUGUAAUGCAGAAAUUCGGAUGUAUGCCGACUGUGCGUUUUAUUAAAAAAUAAAAUCGUACAGCUCCUCUCGAGAAACUCCGUGUUUCUUAAAGAAGCGAGACUCGAACGAGCACGUCGCCACGCGAUCCCUACGGUACCAGUAGAAAAAGUCUUUGGACUUCCAUUUAACGUACAGAUCCAGCCAUUGCUCCCCGAAUCCUCGUUAUCCAUUCCCCUCGGAUCCUACGGGUUUCCUUCGUUUCCUUCCUUUUCCUAUAUUUUUAGAAUUUCGAAGAACAACAACAAACGAGCAACAACCAGAGUCGAUCGAAGUUGUAGAAUCUACGACGACAGUGCAUGACGGAGACAUAUAUAUAUAUCCUGUACAACGAGCAUAAUAGGUUUCCUAUUAGAUUCUAGCCCCUUCCUGCAAUUCUAUUUACACCUUUCGAGCUGAAGAAGCUCCAUCGUUCGACCACGCUAACUUGAGAACGUCGAAUCGAGUGUUUCAACUUUGAACCAACAUUUUUUGUAACAAAAGUUUUAAUUACUCCCUGCAGAUAAAACAUCGCGAAUGAUCGACGAAGGUGACGAUCCCGCUUGGAGAAACUAAUCGAUCACCUUCAUUCCUAACUACGAACGGGAACCAUGGACGUAAAUCUCGUAUACGUUACAGUACGCGUCGACUGGACUAGAUUUAUACGUUGGAAACGAAGGGCUGCAACGUUUCCUUGCGCUCUAAUCAGUUUUCUUUGAAAACACUGUUGCACCGAACAAGCGUCGCUCGAUUACCGCCGAUGAAGAAGUCUGCCUAGGUUGAAAUCGUACAAGUGAGGUGAAUUUUACAUUUUUUUUUUAAGAAAACUAUCCGAGUCGGCGAUUUCAAACUUUGUCCGUAUACUUAUUUAUGUUUACGCUAGGUAAUUAUUUCUCUUAGUUCUUGUACGUACAAUACCGUCCGAAAACUAGGCAGACCGUCGACGUCUCUUUUCGAGCCAAUCGUACAUCCGGAACGCGCAUUGUGGGACACGAAUGACUUUCGUUUGCGUAUCGAGUACCGAAACCUGCUAUGUUAAGUACCGUCGACCCCAUCCUAAAGAUGACAGGUGUCCGUGGUCUCUACUCGCGCAAUAUCGUCGAAAGAAAAGUUAAUUGCUCGGGCUCUCUUCGCUCGACAUCGUCCCGAUCGUCGUAGCACGAUUUCUUGUCCCCACGAUUUCACUUCGUCGAUUAAUUUAACCCUCUCGUUGCAAUCGGCCGGUCAAAGUCGCUCGCCGUGUCGGGGCUUGCAGACUAUCAGAUCGAUCGCUGGGCGCGUUAAAGAACAAAGGGCCAAUUUAUUUCGACAAACACCGUAACGCGCGAACCAUCCAGAAUAUCAAUCCAGCGUUUAAGCUAACGUUGCUCGCGGUUCACGAAUUGCUCCGUUUGCCUGCGGUCACGACAAGAAAAUAACCGUACUUCCAUCGACACCGGAUGCUAUGCGCCUCAUCGAGAAUUUCGAUAUUCACCGUCCGGAAAAGAAAGUCGGAUGUCGUCCAGGAACUUCCUCUCGUCGCGCUGAUUCUAUAUUCAGCCUGCGCGACGCACGGCUUUACGUCCACCACGAUAACGAGACAUUCGAGAAUUACAAUUACCCGUAACGCCGAGCGUCCAUCUUCCGAAACGUCUUGGAAGACCGACAGAGACUAACGACACCGUUAAAAGAUCUCUCAGUGUUUCUUAGAAACUUCUAACCUUCAACGAUCAACUACCGAUCGUCGUAAAAUCCUGACAAAGCUUUUCCCAAAAUUCUCGUCGCUAAAUCUGAAUCAUUUCCAGGUGCAUUAUCUCCAGGAAAGGAUGGCUAGAAGAUCCCGCGUGCCUAACGCCUAGCGUCCCCUGGAGAGUAUAAUAACUGUACAAAACAAAACUCUCGAGUGGACAGCUGGCAUUAAACCGCGACAAUGCGAAUGUCCUGAAUAACAAAAACAAUCAAGUUCUCCAGUGGAACAACGAAACCAGUCGAACCGUCUAUGCACCGAGGACACGAAGAAUCUACAACACGUUCAAGAAACACUCGCGCAGCAUCUCCAUUCAGACCUGAGUGUCCAGAGUUCGCGUCUAGAGUUCACCGGAAGUUAGUCUAGCCCUGACGAUUGUAACAACGACGCAAACCUGAUGAGAACAACGUGUGCGCCGAUGGUAGAGAUGAGGGAUCGAGAGAUCAGGCGUUACCUCCUUGUUGCGUGAAUUUUGUUUGAUUAUUUGGAAUAAUCUGACCUGUUAAGAAUCUAAACUCCUUCCAACGAUGAUUCUUCCAUCCCCCAUAUCUACCUACAGCGCGACCAACGGAAUCUUAUCGGGACUUCUGAUCCACGAGUAUCUGAAAGAAGCGCGUGAGAACAUUUGAGAGCUUUGGAUCGAUAUUCAAGACCGCGAAAGUGCGAUGAGUGGUUCAGGUCGUGCUCUGUUUGAUAUGGCCAGGGACUGGGGUAUUUAUGAAUACUAUUAUAAAUAUUAUAAUACUUUAUAAAUACUACGCUCAGAGAAUUACGAAACCCUCUACCGCAUAAUUUCUCCUACAAAUUAAACCGAAUAACACGAAGAAGAUGAGAACAGUCUUCGAAAACUUCAGUCCCUUAGCCAUGCGAAACAAAGUUCGUCGAUACCUACGGAAUUCUGUCUCGAUCCAAAGACUCCCGAAUCCUUUGCACUCCAGACAAUUUCGCUGUAGACAGUAUCGCGCGAUAGACAAUUAUCCAGAGCCUCGUAACACCUAAGGACCCAGAGGUAUACCUAGAGGUACACCUAGAGGUACACCUAGUACCGCGAAGGUCCGCGUAUCCUCUGGACUGCAAAGAAAUCGAAUUCGCUGCGCGCCGUCAGGUCCUAAGCGAGCUACAGCUGGGGUUCUCCUCGAGUGGAUCACGGAUACCGACAUGGCAACCACCAGGCGGUAGGACGCGCGGGGGCGUCCGGGACGUGGAAUGAGCCAAGCGACAAGCUGGUGCUCGUUCGAGUGGGGUAGUACUA